CGCGGGGAGACCGGGCUCGGGGCGCUUCGGUGCUGCCAAAGGCCCCUGGAAGCGACGUGCGGUUACACCUAGUUUGCUCUUAUGCACAUUUCGGGCCCUCGCGCGGGCAAUGGCGACCAGCAGCGUGCUGAGCCGAGCGCUGCUGCAAGUCACCCUUGGGAUGCGUCUUUCACUGUACCGCUUCUAUCCUACAAGAAACAGAUGGAGUGACUGACAACAUGGAGAGGCCUGACAUCAUGGCUGAACAGUUCUGGUGAAGAAUUGCUGCUGGAAACACAUAUGUACUGUACUCACGAAAAACUUGUAAGCAUCCCUGCAAAGUGCUCACUAGAUAAGGGUGAUGCUGAUGUGUGAAGAUUUGUUGCCUAUAGUCCUUUUCUCCAGCACCAGGAAGAAGGGGAGCAUGCCUGGAAAAGGUCAUAGAAGCAAGUCUUGAGAGGAACUUCAGUGGUUGAAAUGAAUGUUGCAAUUUAAAAUAUCACCUUCUAAUUUCACAGAUGCCAUUAUACUUGAAGCUAUCAUCACAGAUCAUACCUCAUUGCAUUAGACACUAUGCACUUACAGGAUAGUGAUCCGUGGCUCAGGUACUCACGCUUCCUUGUCUUGUCAGAUAUGGUUACAGACAGAUGGUUAUGAGGACCUGAGAAUAUGCAUAGCUCAGCAUGAAGAGCAUUUGUCUUGGCACUCUAGUAGUUUACUCACUGUCAAGCUUUGUUUCUGGAUUUUUCAGAACUAUACUGAAGCCUAGUGAGUGCUGCAUGGAUUUCAGACAGUCCCCACAUAUGCAGGCUAGCAUGGGAGAAAACAAAACAUGAUUGUUUGAGAAACAAAAGUGGUGAGGAAUAGCUAGACUGCUAAAUACUGUUAAAUUAUUUUUUCUAAAAUCUUUUUUCUAACUUGCAAGCAUGUUAUUAUAUCAGUUUUAUUGGAAUCAUUGAGAAAUACUACAUUUCAGAAAUGAUAGCAGGUGACAAAGGGAGACAAACCCAUGCGACUUUCAAUAGGCAUUGAAAAGAAACUCAGCAGCAUUAUCUGAGAGGAUUUUUUUGGCUGUAAAAUGUAAGUCAAAGCAUGGGAUGGUAAAGAAUGAGAUGGAGCAGGCUUUCCAAGAGAGCACUACCUGGCACAGGAACAGUGCUGGAACAAUUUGCUGGAACUAAAAGGUCAGAGGAGUUAGUGGAAAUGAUCAGCAUCUCAUUACACAGGCUGCAAGAGUUGUCCCUUUAGGAAGCAGUACUGUCAUGUCUUGGCUGGUGCUGAGGAAAGCUAUGCUGAUUACAGAGCCUCCGAGUAGCAUUAUGGAGGAUGUAAGCCUGAACCUUGAUUUAGGUGGUGUAAAUGGCUAUGCUGUCUGAAGGGAAAAGUAUGUUUAGAAGGGACAAAUGAUGUAGAUAUUAGCUGUACAUGACUGUGAAAUAAGAGCUACAGGAUUCUUGGAGGAGAGCGUUGGGGGUCUUUGGCUAGCCAUACGCAGCAGCGGAUUAAGCAGGCAAGGUCAGCAGAUCAGAAGGUGGCUAGAGGCCUGCCUAAUAAUCCCUGCAAGCAGUGAGGAUAUAAGUAACCUUAGAGCAACACAAUUUACAGUGUUACUGCUUUUCUACUUACAAGUUAACAAAUAAAGGCUAUACUUGCAGAGAUGGAGCACUGGCCUUGUCUAAGGUGCUGUAAGAAGGGAACCUCGGUGUUCAUAAUCCAGUGGGUAAUCCACUCUUGAGUGACUGCAACAGCUUGUCAAUAGGCUGAUUUCAGGAACUGAUCUUAGUUAUUGUAAUUCCAUACUUAUUUUACUUGGUUCUUGUCUCUGGCAGAUAGAAGAUAGGUGUCCAUUCUAGCUGAAAGCGUUGCACUUAGACUCCCAGUGGGGUGUAGCAAGACUACUGUAUGCUUGGAAAACUACAUAAAGGUUUUAUGUAAAUCAUCUUUUCAGGUUUGUAGUGUUUCAAAGUGAAGCAUUUCAUAUGCUCUAGACCAAUUAAAACAAAAUUGUUUCAUGUCCAUUUGUGCAACUCACCUCCCCUAACAUUGCUGUCACUGAAAUUGCCAAAAGAGAGUCUUUGAGCAGACAAGCUCUAUUGCUAAUAGAAAUAAUUGUAAAUCCUCCAAAAACUACUAGGCUAUACUAAGAUUUAGUGCUCCAAAAUA